rfam:Shigella dysenteriae Sd197, complete genome.
GGCCGGAUAAGGCGCUCGCGCCGCAUCCGGCGAUGGUGCACUGAAGCCUGAUGCGACGCUUACCGCGUCUUAUCAUGCC